CCCUAUCUCCCUUUGCUGACUCUCUUUUCAGAUUCAGCCCAGUUGCACCCAAGUAAAAUAAACAGUCUUGUUGCUCACACAAAGCCUGUUGGUGGACUCUCUUCAUAUGGACUCAUGUGACAUUUGGUGCCGAAGACCUGAGACAGGAGGACUCCUUUGGGAGACCGGUCCCCUGUCCUCGCCCUCUCUCCAUGAGAUCCACCCAUGACCUCGGGUCCUCAGCCCAGCCGAAGGAACUUCUCACCAAUUUUAAAUCGGGGACGCAAAGCCAACAAGAAUGAAGAAGUGGCCAGGAAAUUAAAGCAAUGUGAACACCCUCUGGCCAGCCUGUUGGAGGGUGAGAGACCACAUGGAGGAGACAGAGCCCUGAUGUCCCAGCUGAGGACAUCCCAGAAAAGCCUAUUUCCAGACAACUGAGGACAGGUGAAUGAGUUCUUUGUAGAUGAACCAGAAUCCAGUCUAUCUACCUGCUGAGCACAGACAUGUGAGCAACCCCCCCAUCAAGGUCAACUGAGCCUGGCCCAGAUCAACAGAAUCACGAGAUGACCUAUGGACUCAGGAGCAAUCAUGAUGUGGUUGUUCCAUGACACUGAAUGUAGAGGUCGUUGAUUCUGCAGCACCAGCAAACUGACACAUAACACCGUGUUUAAUAUUGGGUUCUGGGCUUUGGGGUCCCUGCAGAGUUCCUGAUUUCAGCCCCAAGGGCUCAUUCACAAAUUUAUUACUCAGAUUCUACCCUGUCAACCCAGGACGUGUUACUUACACAUUUCCCAGUGUGGGCAGCAAGCCACCCAGGUGCCGAGGCAAGAGACCGAGGGCACAAGCUGUUCCAGUAUAAUAAAGAAAACAUAUAAAAUAAGAAUAGUUAUACUAGAUAUAGAUCGUAGAUAUGAUUAUAUAUGAAUAUUACUAAUCAUUAGUCUGUAGCAAUUACUCUUUAUUCCAUUAUAAUAAUAAUCUUCUCUCUACAAUUAUAACUUAAGAGAAACCAGGCCAUACAGAGAUAGGAGCUGAACGGACACAGUGAGAAAUGACCAGAAGACAAGAGUGUGAGCCUUCUAUUAUGCCCCGACAGGGCCACUAGAGGGCUCCUUAGUCUAGCGUUAAUGCCAGUGCCCGGGAAGAUGCCCGUUACCUAGCCGACUUUGGUCUAGCGGUAGCGUCAGUGCCCAGGAAAAGCACCCACUACUUAGCAGACUGGGAAAAGGAGUGUCCCUUUCCCCGGGGGAGUUAGAGAAGACUCUGCUCCACCACCUCUUGUGGAGGGCCUGACAUCCGUCAGGCCUGCCCGCAGUUAUCCAGAGGCCUGUCUCCCUGUGAUGCUGUGCUUCAGAGCAGUCACGCUCCUGGUCCGCUUACAUGUUCCAUCCUGUACACCUGGCUCUGCCUUCUAGGUAGUAGCAGAAUUAGUGAAAGUACUAAAAGUCUCUGAAAUGCAAAAAUAAAGGCAUAAGCUGUCUCCUUUCUCUCCACCUCAGCUGCCAAACAGGGAAGGGCCGCCUGUCCAGUGGAUACAUGACCCACAUGACCUUACCUAUCAUUGGAGAUGGCUCACACUGCUCACCCUGCCCCCUUGUCUUGUAUCCAAUAAAUAACAGCGCAGCCUGGCAUUCGGGGCCACUACUGGUCACUGUGUCUUGGUGGUAGUGGUUCCCCGGGCCCAGCUGUUUUUUCUUUUA
rnacentral:lncRNA from 1 species